AUUGAACGCUGGCGGCAUGCCUUACACAUGCAAGUCGAACGGUAACAGGUCUUCGGACGCUGACGAGUGGCGAACGGGUGAGUAAUACAUCGGAACGUGCCCAGUCGUGGGGGAUAACUACUCGAAAGAGUAGCUAAUACCGCAUACGAUCUGAGGAUGAAAGCGGGGGACCUUCGGGCCUCGCGCGAUUGGAGCGGCCGAUGGCAGAUUAGGUAGUUGGUGAGGUAAGGGCUCACCAAGGCGACGAUCCGUAGCUGGUUUGAGAGGACGACCAGCCACACUGGGACUGAGACACGGCCCAG
rnacentral:rRNA from 1 species